AUACUUACCUAGGAGGGGACUUACCAUGAUCACGAAGGCGGUUUUCCCAGGGUGAGGCUUAUGCAUUGCGCUCCAGAUGUGCUGACCCUGCUAUUUCCCCAAAUGUGGGAAACUCAACUGCAUCAUUUGUGGUAGUGGGGGACGGCAUUUGCGCUCUCCCCUG